rnacentral:rRNA from 1 species
UACGUAGGGACCAAGCGUUGUUCGGAUUUACUGGGCGUAAAGGGCGCGUAGGCGGCGUGGUAAGUCACUUGUGAAAUCUCUGAGCUUAACUCAGAACGGUCAAGUGAUACUGCUGUGCUAGAGUGCGGAAGGGGCAAUCGGAAUUCUUGGUGUAGCGGUGAAAUGCGUAGAUAUCAAGAGGAACACCGGUGGCGAAGGCGGGUCUCUGGGCAGUAACUGACGCUGAGGAGCGAAAGCGUGGGGAGCGAACAGG